rnacentral:rRNA from 1 species
UACGUAGGGGGGCAAGCGUUGUCCGGAAUUAUUGGGCGUAAAGCGCGCGCAGGCGGUCCUUUAAGUCUGAUGUGAAAGCCCACGGCUCAACCGUGGAGGGUCAUUGGAAACUGGGGGACUUGAGUACAGAAGAGAAGAGUGGAAUUCCACGUGUAGCGGUGAAAUACGUAGGAGAUGUGGAGACACCAGUGGCGAAGGCGACUCUUUGGUCUGUAACUGACGCUGAGGCGCGAAAGCAUGGGGAGCAAACAGG